GUGAAUGGAUAAACUGUGGCACAUCACACUAUGGAAUAUUACUCAACAAAGUAAAGGAACCAACUACUGAUACUCGCUCGAUGUGGGUGAAUCUUGGCUGUGUUACAGAACCCUAGGCCAGAGAGAUUGAGUGACUUGACCAAAUCCACUCUCCACGCUUAUUCUCCUAGAGAGAGGACUGUUCGUGUGCUUCUGUGAGUCUAUGGCCUUGUUACAACCAAGCGCAAACUGCUGUCCUCGCUCCCUGCUAGAUGUUACCCAAGAGCCCUGAAGAGAUGGAUCCUUGAUGACAUCACUGAACAACGAGAACAAAACCAGGAAAUCAGCUGACUCCAGACAUCUUGCUACCUGAGAAGAAUGUACUUGUAUUUGUUUAAGCUACUAUUACCUGCCUUUACUUGGAGCCAAGAGCACUCCCAGCUGAUACACCAUUAGGGAAGAUAGCUGAAAAAAAAAAAAUCAGUCUCAGAUGUGGAGUUCUGUAUGACAGUUCUUAGUCAUGUCAAGCAGAAUUUAGCUCAUUUUGUGUGAGUUAAGCAAGUACCAGGUUUAUUCAAAUAGGAAGAACAAUUACAAUAGCUUUGAUG